rnacentral:lncRNA from 1 species
GGAGGAUCCCGGCGGAGUUCGGCGCCGUCAACUUCGUGCAGAUCGACCUGUCGCGCAACCAGCUCACCGGCGACGCGUCGAUGCUGUUCGGGUCGGGGAAGAAGGAGCUCGUCAGCGCGUACCUGUCGCGCAACGCGCUGAGCUUCAACAUGUCGCAGCUGCAGCUGCCGGAAGAGCUGAAUUUCCUGGACGUGAGCCACAACUCCAUCUACGGCAGCAUCCCGGCGCAGAUGGCCAACAUGACGGACAUGCAGCUGCUCAACGUCAGCUACAACAGGCUCUGCGGCGUGGUGCCCACCGGCGGCAACAUGCCCAGCUUCGAUGCCUACUGCUUCCAGCACAACAAGUGCCUCUGCGGCGCGCCGCUUUCUCACUGCACCCAUUGAUAUACUCCUAUAUGAUAUGAGGACCAUAAUCAUCCACCUACAAUUAAUGCAGUCUUAAUUUGCUGCUUGCAAUUAGUAAUCGAAUAAUCCUAGCAAAGCAAAGCAAGCUAGGAGUAGUAUAUAAAUAAGAACCUUCGAUCGGUUCAGGUUCAUGCGUGAUGUAAUGUUUUGUUCGUGCUUGAUAUGGAGUACCUAUCUCAGGCCACCAACACAUAGUAUGUACACCAUUCGUUUCAAAAAUAAAUCAAUUCCUAGCUACAAAUUUAGACGUAGUGUUAUCCAGAUUAAUUCAUAGAUAGGAUUUGAUUCUUUUUAUAACGGAGGGAGUAUGUUUUAAAGGUUGGGAUCAGGUUUUGCUUUUUCGAAUUAACCGAUUUGAUCGGAAGUCACUGAUAUACCAAAAUUUUGAACAAAAUUUAGUUAAAUUUGAACAAAUAUUACCAAAAUUCACAAAAAACUAAAAAUUUUCAGCCGAAAUAAUAUCGUAUUAGAGGGGUUCAAAAUGACCGAAAUUUUGGAAAUUUUAGUCCGAAAUUUUCAGCCCUGGUUGAGAUGCCUGCGGGAAAUAAUGUCUGAUUCAUACUAAGAGUAUGAAGCUACGUUUAUAUGGACAUCUUUGGCAUAGAUUUGGAUCCCAAGAUUUGUCAAAGCUGGGUAUUCUUAGGUUCAAAAACUAUGGAUGCAGAUCGACGUUUACGUUGAUAACGUUUAAUAUAUCAUUUUAUUUUCAUUUUAGAUGAGUUUAUUUUUAAAAAGUUAAAUCACUAUAAUUUAGCGUAAAAACUUUAAAUAUAUCGUGAUUUGAGAUCUGAAAUUCUGACAAACAGGACGAGAAUUAGUGAAUUGUGUUGGGCAGAUGUAAUAGCAUAUACAAAGAUAGAGUCUGUUAUGGGUCGUAUGUAUUGAUACAUAACACUAGAGACUAACAUUCUAUUUGAGAUAACAAGAACUUUUAACCAUUAAUGCACCGGAAUAAUUUUUUUCUUCUUUUCUUUUCUCCACCCUUGUACAACAAAAAUUCCUUUAAUACAACAUUUAUCAUCCUUCUUUUCUUUUCUUUUCUUCGCCCUUUGAGUCAUUGUCAUGCGUAGUAAAAAUAUUUUCUUUUCCUUUUCUCUUUCACAUCACCAAAUUUAUUUCUUGUUAUAAGCUAAUAGAGAAAACCCGUUAAUAAACACUGUUGUAUCUAAAGAGGAUAUCAAGGCCCAUCCACGAUUAGCGGAAGGGAAAGGCCAAUUUGUUGGAGAACCCUCUUGAGUUUAAGAUGGAGAGCCGUCGAUUAAAAGGAAGGAGCCCCCGACCCCCGUCACUCGUUUCAUUCUCGCUCGCUGUCGCCCGCCCCUUCCCGCGCCGCCACCGCCGCCGCCGCCGCCGCCGCCGCCAUCCCACUAGCCCACCACCUCCUCCGCGCGCUGCUACCGCCAGCCCUCCCACCGCUUACUCUUUCUGUCCACCUCCCGCUGCGUCACGGGUACACCUCGAACCGCUCAGCCGCCGUUCCUAUCUCCCCGGUCCCCCUUUAUAUAUUAUCUCCCGUUGCUUGCUGUCAAGAAUCGAAUCCAAUAGACUUCAAGUUCGAUCAAGUAAUUCACCUCUACCUCUGCUUUUAUUAUAUACUGUUUCAUGUGUACAAAGUUAAUUUGUAGUACGCCACAGUCGAUUGUCCACUGCUUUCUUUAGCUUCCUAUAUCCUUCUCAUCUUCUUUUAGCUAUCCAUGCUCUAUGUAUGGCCAUAGCAGCUCAUUUCUAGCUUGAUGGGUGGUAAAUCUGCUAUAGAAACUCUGUCUUUCAAUAAUUUCAAAGGCAGAUUUUGUAUCACUAUCUUUCAGGAAUAAUCAAUUGGGUAUAGCUAGCACCCUUCUUGAUUAUUUAGUGUUUAAAUUUGGACAAAAGCAACGUGGUAUUAUUUGAGCUUAGCUAUACUUUAUCAAAAAAAACAUCGCAAGUGCAAGUUUGGGAUCAUGCAAAGUCAAUAUCUAAUUCCUGUACCAUGUAUUGCAGAUCAUCCUUUUUUUUUCUUCACAAAAGUGAUCCUUGGAUUUCUUCAAACAUGGCAUCUCCGGGUGAAAUGUCAGUAAGCAAUCCAUUACGCUUCCAAGGCUUUCCUUGUAAUCUGGUAAGCGACCUUUGCACAACACUGGAUGGAUUUUUUUUCCCCAUAACAUUGUUGUGUUUCUUAUGUGUCUACUCUCUAUGUAGGGAAAAAGAAAUGGUUUCAUUGCUGCAAGGAGUUCUGGACUGAGAAGAUCUCAGCAGUGCUUCCAUAGACACCUUUGUUGGCCAGGUGUUCGAAGAGCUUCAGUUCCUAAUGUCCGAUUGCUGCCAACUCCUGGUGCUUUGGUUUCCAGGGGACUUGACAGUUCAUUGGUUCACAAAUCUGAUAAUGCAUCAGAAGCUGGAGUUAUUCAAUUAUAUCGUAUACCAUAUCUUCAAGACAGUGAGACAAUUGAGCUGCUCAGGCAAGUGCAAGCAAAGGUUUCUUCUAAUAUUGUGGGUAUAAAGACCGAACAAUGCUUCAACAUUCAAUUGGAUAAUGCAUUAGCUUCAGAGAAGCUUGCAACACUGCAGUGGCUCUUAGCAGAAACCUAUGAACCUGAUAAGUUACAAGCACAAAGCUUUCUGGAGGAGGAAGUCGCUAGGAACCCUUAUAGUGUCAUUGUUGAGGUUGGUCCCCGGAUGACUUUUUCAACAGCGUUCUCAACCAAUGCCGUCUCAAUAUGUAAAUCUCUCUCAUUGAUGGAAGUAACUCGCUUGGAGAGAUCAAGGAGAUACCUUUUAUGCUUGGAUCCUGGCUAUGGUCCACUUGAUGAAAGCCAGCUUAACGACUUUACUGCUUUGGUUCAUGAUAGAAUGACAGAGUGUGUUUAUCCUAAGAAGCUCACAUCAUUUCAUUCAGAUGUAGUUCCUGAACCUGUCCGUAUUGUUCCAGUCAUUGAAAGGGGAAGAGAAGCUCUGGAAGAAAUAAAUGUGAAGAUGGGACUUGCUUUUGAUGAACAAGAUAUCAAGUACUAUACCCACCUCUUCAGAGAUGACAUCAAACGGAACCCAACCACUGUUGAACUUUUCGACAUUGCACAAUCCAACAGUGAGCACAGCAGGCAUUGGUUUUUUAAUGGAAAGCUUGUGAUAGAUGGAGAGACCAUGCCGAGAACCUUGUUUCAGUUAGUGAAGAGUCCCCUGAAAGCUAACCCCGAUAAUAACUCAGUCAUCGGAUUUAAUGACAACUCAAGUGCAAUAAAGGGAUAUCCAGCAAAUCAGCUACGCCCAACAGUUCCAGGCUCCACUUCACCAUUAUCUGUUAUGAUGCGUGAGCUUGAUAUUUUAUUCACAGCAGAAACCCAUAAUUUUCCAUGUGCUGUGGCACCUUAUCCAGGAGCUGAAACAGGUGCAGGUGGUCGCAUAAGGGACACACAUGCCACUGGAAAGGGUUCUUUUGUUGUUGCUUCUACUGCUGGCUAUUGUGUUGGUAAUCUCCGAAUUGAAGGUGCAUAUGCACCCUGGGAGGAUCCAUCCUUUUCAUAUCUGUCGAAUUUGGCCUCCCCUUUGCAAAUUCUUAUUGAUGCUAGCGAUGGCGCUUCUGACUAUGGGAACAAGUUUGGUGAACCUCUAAUUCAGGGAUUUACUAGAAAUUUUGGGACGAGGUUGCUUAAUGGGGAACGGCGCGAGUGGCUGAAGCCAAUAAUGUUUAGUGGGGCAAUCGGGCAAAUUGACCAUGCACAUAUAUCUAAGGGGGAUCCAGAAAUUGGCAUGCUAGUUGUGAAGAUUGGUGGCCCAGCAUACAGAAUUGGUAUGGGUGGUGGUGCUGCCUCCAGCAUGGUUAGUGGACAAAAUGAUGCAGAGCUCGAUUUCAAUGCAGUACAGCGUGGAGAUGCUGAAAUGGCACAGAAAUUAUAUCGUGUGGUCAGGGCAUGUGCGGAAAUGGGAGAGAGCAACCCUAUCAUCAGCAUUCAUGACCAGGGUGCUGGAGGAAACUGCAAUGUGGUGAAGGAAAUAAUCUAUCCUAAGGGCGCUGAAAUUGAUAUACGAUCAAUUGUUGUCGGUGAUCAUACAUUGUCUGUCUUGGAGAUAUGGGGUGCUGAGUACCAGGAACAAGAUGCACUUCUGGUGAAGCCUGAGAGCAGAAGCCUUUUAGAGUCACUUUGUGAAAGGGAAAGGGUUUCAAUGGCUGUCAUUGGGACAAUCAAUGGAUGUGGAAAGAUUGUUUUGAUUGACAGUGCUGCUGUGGAGCAUGCGAAGUUAAAUGGCCUUCCUCCUCCAACCCCUGUUGAGGAUCUCGAGCUUGAAAAGGUUCUAGGAGAUAUGCCCCAAAAGACCUUUGAAUUCAAGCGAGUCUCUGUAGUCAGUGAGCCCUUAGAUAUUGCCCGUGGAGUAACAAUCAUGGAUGCUCUGAAGCGAGUAUUGAGUCUUCCAUCUGUAUGCUCUAAGCGUUUCUUAACCACAAAAGUUGACAGGUGUGUGACAGGUCUUGUUGCACAACAGCAGACAGUUGGACCUCUCCAACUUCCUCUUGCAGAUGUGGCUGUGAUCGCACAGACAUACACUGAUCUAACAGGUGGUGCCUGUGCCAUUGGAGAACAGCCAACGAAAGGUUUACUUAAUCCCAAGGCCAUGGCAAGACUUGCUAUUGGGGAAGCCUUGACUAAUCUGGUUUGGGCUAAAGUUUCAUCACUUUCUGAUGUCAAAGCAAGUGGUAACUGGAUGUAUGCUGCAAAGCUUGAUGGAGAAGGUGCAGAUAUGUAUGAUGCUGCUGUUGCAUUGGCUGACUGCAUGAUUCAACUUGGUAUUGCAAUUGAUGGGGGAAAGGACAGUCUUUCCAUGGCAGCUCAAUGUGAUGGUGAGGUCGUCAAGGCUCCUGGAAAUCUGGUCAUCAGUGCUUAUGUGACAUGUCCUGAUAUAACAUUGACGGUAACUCCUGAUUUGAAGCUUGGCAAGGAUGGAGUUUUGCUGCACAUUGACCUCAGCAAAGGAAAGCGCCGGCUUGGUGGUUCUGCUCUUGCACAGGCUUUUGAUCAAAUUGGAAAUGACUGCCCAGACAUUGAUGAUGUCCUGUACUUGAAGAAAGCCUUUGAGGCCGUUCAGGAAUUGCUUGGUGAGCGUCUUAUUUCAGCUGGCCAUGACAUUAGUGAUGGAGGUCUUAUUGUGAGUGUUCUUGAGAUGGCAUUUGCUGGUAAUUGCGGUGUUAAGCUGAACAUUGACUCAGAAGAUUCUAGCCUUCUUCAAGCACUAUUUGCCGAGGAGCUUGGCCUUCUACUUGAAGUGCAUUUGAAAGAUCUGAGUGUUGUGAAACAAAAGCUUCAAGCAGGAGGCAUUUCCGCUAAUGUAAUUGGAAAAGUUACAGCAUCACCAGAUAUUGAGCUGGUUGUUGAUGGCAGGCUGCAUCUUAAGGAAAAAACUUCAGAUCUCAGGGAUAUCUGGGAGGAAACAAGCUUCCAGCUUGAGGGGCUACAACGUCUGAAAUCUUGUGUCAGACUUGAGAAAGAAGGAUUAAAGCACAGAACAUCACCAUCAUGGUCUUUGUCUUUCACUCCCAAAUUUACAGAUGAAAAACUGCUGACUGCAUCCUCAAAGCCAAAAGUUGCCAUCCUUCGUGAAGAAGGGAGCAAUGGUGAUAGGGAGAUGGCUGCUGCAUUCUAUGCUGCUGGAUUCGAACCAUGGGAUAUCACAAUGUCAGACCUCUUAGCUGGGAAGUCUUCUCUAGAGGAUUACCGUGGGAUUGCGUUUGUCGGUGGUUUUAGCUAUGCAGAUGUUCUUGAUUCAGCUAAAGGUUGGGCUGCAUCAAUCAGGUUUAACCAACCCCUCAUACAGCAGUUCCAGAAUUUCUACAAUAGGCCGGACACUUUCAGCCUUGGGGUGUGCAAUGGUUGUCAGCUAAUGGCUCUUCUUGGCUGGGUACCAGGAUCAGACGUUGGAGGUUCUCUUGGUUCAGGUGGGGACAUGUCCCAGCCAAGAUUUAUUCACAAUGAAUCUGGUCGUUUUGAGUGCCGGUUUACUAGUGUCUCUAUAGGGGCCUCUCCUGCUAUCAUGUUCAAAGGAAUGGAAGGUUCUACAAUGGGCAUUUGGAGUGCUCACGGUGAGGGGAGAGCUUUCUUCCCAGAUGAAAAUGUUCUAGCUAGUGUUGUAAAGUCUAACCUGGCUCCUGUGCGGUACUGUGACGAUGCUAAUAACAUAACUGAAGUCUACCCAUUCAAUCCCAAUGGCUCUCCACUUGGCAUUGCAGCCCUUUGCUCCCCUGAUGGAAGACAUCUUGCUAUGAUGCCACACCCAGAGCGUUGCUUCAUGAUGUGGCAAUAUCCAUGGUCUCCCAAGGAUUGGCAGCUUGAGAAGAGUGGUCCCAGCCCCUGGCUGCGCAUGUUCCAGAAUGCUAGAGAAUGGUGUUCAUAAUGCAGGUACAGCAGACUUGAAUUCAGUUCUUAAGCAUAAGGUUUUCCUUGCUGAACUCAGUUUCAGUUUAAUACAGCCCUAGCGAGCUGCAAGUUAACUGAAACUACAUGCCACUGUUACAUUCAACAUUGCUAUCUUCAUCAAAUUACUAUCUGCCGCUGUUUAUUCAACAUUGCUGUCUUCAUCAAAUGGCAUGCGUAGUGAUUUAUGCUACUAAUUAAUCAUGAUUUGUAUGUGCUAUGAGUCAUUUGUCUGGCAUGGCAAUAUAUGUGUUAGAUAUCCUGAGUCUUUGAUUCUAUAAUACACUGUUCUGUUCCUGUUUCCAACUCAAGAAAACUUCAGUACAUUGGUGGCUGGUGCUAGGAAUGAAGUACCAAAUGACAUCCAAUUUUACUUUGUUUUUUCAGUUGUGUAACAUACCGGGACCUAAUUGAUGGUCAUAUGAUGACAGAAGCUUGGAGCUAUGGACUCUUUUGGAUACUUAAACCUUGCUGGUUCGAUGCACUCAGCAGUCAGCAUUGUUGUUACCGAGGAUCGAAUAAGUGGGUUCAUCGAAAUAAUUAAAAGCAGAUUCUGUGAUUCUUGCUUGCAGCUUUGAGUUUUGCUGCUGGUUUGAAACUAGGAAUCCUGUAAGGGUAGUAGUGUUUUAUUAGGCAGAGGCGAGGAGGCCUCAGGCCUGCAAUAUGCUGGUAAUGAGAAUAAUCAUGUUGGCGCUGCAGUGCUGCUUUGGGAAUUCUUUGACUAGCAGAAGAGGAUACAUGCCCGUAAUUAAAUGUAAUGUGUUGUUCGAUUAUCCGGUGAUACUAAAUGUCAUCUUUCUUCUGUGGCUAUCCUUUUCAGGUUCUGCUAUUGGAUGCGCAGCAAUUUGCAGUCCUGCUGUUGAUGAACCGUAUUGUCGAAGGUAAUAUGGGAUUAUGGAUUGUUGAUUUUACAGGUGUAGAUUUACAUUUGAUUGUACGCUUGUUUACCGGUUACUGUCAGUGGCUUUUGGGGGUUUUGUGUUGUUGUUUGACCACCCAACCCAACACCAAGAGGUUUCAUUUCACCGUGCGAUCGAUACAUAUGGGGAUAGACACAAGAGAAUUGGAGAAGUCAAAAAGUUUUUUAAGCAUUUGGGAUGAAUUAGUAAUAGAACUUGUGUGCUGAGUUGUUUCAGGGACUAAAUAUCUUGUGUGCUGGAUUGUCGUGCACUUGUGUUCAAAUAAUGCAGGUAGAAGUAGAACAAGGCACUUGGGGCAGGAGGACACAAAUUGUAGAAUGCGUCGUUUGAUUGUUUUGUUCAAAGCGGUUGGCGCCAAACUCCUUCCAUCUGAACAACUCGCCAAUCUGAUUACUCCCUCUCCGUCUACAUAUAUAUACCCCCACACCCACAUCGUUCAAGAUAAGCUGAGACAAAAUCGAUCGGAGGUCGAAAUGGUGCGCGCCAUCGGGCCCCUGCUCCUGCUCGCCCACGUGCUCGUGUUCGUGGUGUCCAUUGCGGCGGCGGCGGCGCCCGUGCGACGGCCACGCUGCGACGCCGGCGACCGCGCCGCGCUACUCGCCGUGAAGGCGGCCUUCAACAACGCGUCCUACUUCCAGUCCUGGACGCCCGACAUCGCCUGCUGCCACUGGUACGGCGUCGACUGCGGCGGCGACGACUACGACUACGACCCCACCGACGGCGACCGCGUCCUCAGCCUCGCCAUCAUACGCGAUGACAACGUCACCGGCGGCAUACCAGGCGACGCCAUCGCCCGCCUCACCCGCCUCCAGGAGCUCAUGUUCUUCAAGGUCCCCGGCGUCACCGGCCCCAUCCCCGCCGCGCUCGCCACGCUCACCGCCCUCAGGGAGCUCACCAUCUCCCGCACCGCCCUCUCCGGCUCCAUCCCUUCCUUCAUCGGCGACAAGUUCACCGCGCUCCAGUCUCUCGACCUCUCCUUCAACUCGCUCACCGGCGCCAUCCCGGCGAGCCUCGCCAAGCCCCCGAAGCUCAUCUCCAUCGACCUCAGCCGCAACCAGCUCACCGGGAGCAUCCCGCGGCUGCUGCUGAGCAAGGCCGGGCAGCAAGCGUUCCUGACGCUGUCACACAACAACCUGUCCGGGAGGAUCCCGGCGGCGUUCGGCGCCGUCAACUUCGUGCAGAUCGACCUGUCGCGAAACCAGCUCACCGGCGACGCGUCGAUGCUGUUCGGGUCGGGGAAGAAGGAGCUCGGCAGCGUCUACCUGUCGCGCAACGCGCUGAGCUUCGACAUGUCGGAGCUGCGGCUGCCGGAGCGGCUGAGCUUCCUGGACGUGAGCCACAACGCCAUCCGCGGCGGCAUCCCGGCGCAGGUGGCGAAUCUGAGCAACCUGCAGCUGCUCAACGUCAGCUACAACAGGAUGUGCGGC